rnacentral:rRNA from 1 species
GAUGAACGCUGGCGGCGUGCCUAAUACAUGCAAGUCGAGCGAACAGACGAGGAGCUUGCUCCUUUGACGUUAGCGGCGGACGGGUGAGUAACACGUAGGUAACCUACCUAUAAGACUGGGAUAACUUCGGGAAACCGGAGCUAAUACCGGAUAAUAUUUCGAACCGCAUGGUUCGAUAGUGAAAGAUGGCUUUGCUAUCACUUAUAGAUGGACCUGCGCCGUAUUAGCUAGUUGGUAAGGUAACGGCUUACCAAGGCAACGAUACGUAGCCGACCUGAGAGGGUGAUCGGCCACACUGGAACUGAGACACGGUCCAGACUCCUACGGGAGGCAGCAGUAGGGAAUCUUCCGCAAUGGGCGAAAGCCUGACGGAGCAACGCCGCGUGAGUGAUGAAGGUCUUCGGAUCGUAAAACUCUGUGAUUAGGGAAGAACAAACGUGUAAGUAACUGUGCACGUCUUGACGGUACCUAAUCAGAAAGCCACGGCUAACUACGUG